rnacentral:rRNA from 1 species
UACGGAGGGUGCAAGCGUUAUCCGGAUUUACUGGGUUUAAAGGGUGCGUAGGCGGGUUUCCAAGUCAGUGGUGAAAGCUCCGAGCUUAACUCGGAAAUUGCCAUUGAUACUGGAAGUCUUGAAUUCAGUUGAGGUCGGCGGAAUGUGUCGUGUAGUAGUGAAAUACUUAGAUAUGACACAGAACACCAAUUGCGAAGGCAGCUGGCUAACCUGACAUUGACGCUGAGGCACGAAAGCGUGGGGAUCAAACAGG